UGAAAGUAAUUUCAGAGAGAGAAAAUAUAAAAUGUUCGACACAUAUGCAUGUUUAGGGAUUAUCUCUAUAUCAGUGAAAUUUGAAAGAGGAUAUUUCAUCAUCGUCUAAAUUUAAAUUUCAUGUUACUUUCAGGUACCAACUUGAGGAAAAUAUUUCCCUAAUCCCAGCACAAAAAAUAAAUAAGGUUAUUUAUGGGCACCGCUGAAAGAACAGACUGUAAAGAUACGAUUCUCGUUGUAAGGAUGAAUUCAGAAGACUAUGCUGACAGGUCGCCAAAUAACAGUGAGAGAAUAAAUCCUUGCAGGAACAAGGAUUACAAAAAAAACUCGUCGAAGAACCUUCAUAUCCGAGAUUGAUCUUCAAACAUGGCACAUAUGGAAGCACAAUCGAUGCCCAGUUGUCGGGCAGACCUCUGGUUGAAAAAUCCUACAUAUAUCUGUGAGCAUUAAUGACGUUCAGAGAUCAAAUAUCGUUCUCCAUCCUACCAUGGCUCCACCUGAGAAAUUCGAGAUAUCAUCACAUUUUUAAACCACCUUUCAUUUUAAGAAUGCGUAUCCGAAUUUCCACUAAGUCUUAAACCUCUUCCAUACUUCUCUGAGCAUUUAUGGUAUCCCCAAUGUAUCUGUGUACGGAGACAAUACGAAAUGGAUGGUUCCAACUCCCAAAAAGCCUUGUACAACCGAUCAGAUGAGGCAAAUGGAGAAAGUUGGGAACCACAACUUUGAGAUAGUCAGCAACGUUAUCUACUUCGGGACCGCCGUAACCGAAAAUAAUGGCACCAGUUGUGAAAUAAAGUGAAGAAUAAUACUGACAAA
rnacentral:sRNA from 1 species